AAUUAGCAACACUCUUUUGGUUUGGAUCUCGGAUCCCCUAUUUCAUCAUCAUCACUUUGUGAUGUAGGUCAGAAUGUAGGACAGAAUAUGGGAAAAAAAAUUCUUAUGUAAGGCUUAUGUAUAAUUUUUGAGCCUUGGGUGUUUGUGACAUUUGAAGGAACAGCAGAAGCCUCUGGUGGUUGGGGAUGUGAGAUUUUCAGACGUUUCCUGCUAAACUGGUGUUGUGAGUGACUUGCUUUGUGCUGCCAUCUGCUGGGCGAUUAGACGAAAUACUUCAAAAAGGAAAUUGUGGCCGAACAUCCACAGCAGCUUUCCUUGUUUACCUCACAGUGGGAGAACAGCUUUAAGCACACACUGCCUUUGUGGAAGUAUCAAACACAGACUACUGAUGUGCCGUUGCUCACUGUUUCAGUCAUCAGUGUGCCCACAGGGACUUCAUUUCUCAGAAUUCACCUUACCAAGAACCCACUGUACCAUGUGGCCUUUGUGAUAAAAGAGGUCGAGGUCAUUCUUUUUUAUUCAAACACUCUUGUUUACCGUGGUAUGAGUAAAUAUUUAAGUAGUUGUCUGAUCAUGUGCCUAAAAUUAUUAUUGCUCCCUAUACUAACCCUAAACCUUAAAUAUGGAUCUUUGCUGGUGCUGCAGACAUUAAAGGAUUAGUUCAAUUUUAAAUGAAAAUCACCCCAAGCUUUACUCACCCUCAAGCCAUCAGGUGUAUUUGACUUUCUUCUUUCUGAUGAACACAACUGGAGUUAUAUUAAUGAAUAUCCUGACGCAUCCAAGCUUUAUAAUGGCAGUGAACAGGACCAACAAGUAUGAAGCUCAAGAAAGUGCAUCCAUCCAUUAUAAACAUACUCCACACGGCUCCGGGGGGUUAAUAAAGUCCUUCUGAAGCGAAGCGAUGUGUUUGUGUAAGAAAAAUAUCCAUAUUUAACAAGUUAUAAAGUAAAAUAUCUAGCUUUCACCAGACAGCCUUCCGUAUUAAACUUACGAAGAAAGUGUAAAACUCUUGCAGUUCAAAACGCUUAUGCUACGUCCUACGCCAUCCGUAUUCAACUUACACUUCUAAAAGGCGGUCUAAAAAUAUGCUUUUUAUUUUAAGACAGGAUCCCUCAGAAGUGAAUCAUUAUGUUUGCUGGACCUUAGUAUUAAAAAGUUCGGAAACCCCUGAUCUAGUCUUAAUUCUAAAUAAAAGAUGUGAUAUGAAUGGAGAGGUAAUGGUCUGUAAUCUCCUCCACCAUGCAACGUUAUCAUAAAAGUUGUAAAACUUGUUCUGUCUCUUUUGGACUGUCCUAGCUAGAUUAGUUUCUCAGAAAGGAAGAACAGGGCUGUCUCUUUUUGGACAAGUUAGUCCUUGAAGAUUAUGGGUGGGGAGCAUGGGUUAUUUGUUGUGGGAGAAGCCAAUAAACAGAAAAACAACACAGAUGAUGUGAGGAAGGAAGACCUCUGUCUGUUUCAAGGAUUCGAGAGGUCUGGUUUCAUAAAAAGGGUCGAGGGAUUCUGGGUAUUUCAAAGUGUUCUGUGCUAGCUUUGUUUUUAAAUGGAAGCAUACAACAAAUCAGGGCCAAGUAACCAAGGAGAUAAUCCAUAAGCAAGUGAAUGCGUAAACACGGCAGUGAGAGACAGACAGCCUCUCCCUGCUGAUUUACUGCCCUAUCCUUUAUAUAGCUGUAAGGGAGAAGCUUUAUUGCUUAUUUCUUCUUGUUUAAAUGCCAGCUGUUUAAUAUACACCUAUAUACAGAAAUAAGUGUAUGAACAUUAAUAGUUUGUUAUUUUUAAGAUUUAUUUUUAAAGUGGCAACAUGCUUAUUAUCAGAUAUUGCAUUUGACUGCAUGACAAACUUUUAGCAAUUUGUGGUAAGUUUAAUGAAGAACUUAAAAAUAUUGUUAUUUAUACUUUAAAAAAAUAGUUUCCAAAUGGUGGUUUUUGCAGCAAUGCCAUAGAAGAACCAUUUUGGGAUCCCCAAAGAACCUUUCAGUGAAAAGAACCUUUUUUUUUUUUUUUUUCCUAUGUGUGAAGAAUAUUUUAAUAAUCUAAUGGAUCUUUUUACAUUUUUUUAAAGAACCUUUUGUGCAUUGGAAAGGUUCCCUGGAUAUUAAAGUUUCUACCACAUAUUGUAUGCCAAUAAAGAACCUUGUUCCACAUGCCAUAAUAGGGUUCUGUCAGGCACUUCAUAU